ACCACCCUGAGUGUGCUGAUCUCAUCUGAUCUCAAAAGCUAAGCAGGCUCAGACCUGGUUAAUACUUGGAUGGGAGACAGGAGACUACUACAGGCA
ensembl:rRNA 5S_rRNA 5S ribosomal RNA